ACGAACGCUGGCGGCGUGCCUAAUACAUGCAAGUAGAACGCUGAAGGAGGAGCUUGCUUCUCCGGAUGAGUUGCGAACGGGUGAGUAACGCGUAGGUAACCUGCCUGGUAGCGGGGGAUAACUAUUGGAAACGAUAGCUAAUACCGCAUAACAGUAGAUAUUGCAUGAUAUCUGCUUGAAAGGUGCAAUUGCAUCACUACCAGAUGGACCUGCGUUGUAUUAGCUAGUUGGUGAGGUAACGGCUCACCAAGGCGACGAUACAUAGCCGACCUGAGAGGGUGAGGGGCCACACGGAAAGUGACACGGGGCACACACCCACAGGGGGGACCACUGUGGGGACUUUGCGAAAAGGCAGAAAACUCUGCGCGCAACACCGCGCGGGUGAAAAAAGGGUUCUGGGAUUGAAAAGCUGUUGUGUAAGAAAAACAAGAGUGGGAGUGUAAAAUGCACACUCUGACGGUAUCUUACCAGAAAGGGACGGCUAACUACGUG
rnacentral:rRNA from 1 species